GUAGCGAUUCACGACGUGAGAAACGUGUGCGCCGAUUGACAAGGUUCCUGGGUCAAGCUGAUCUGCCCAGGGUAAGUCGGGACCUAAGGCGAGGCCGACAGGCGUAGUCGAUGGAUAACCGGUUGAUAUUCCGGUACCCGCUGUGAAGCGUCAAACAUCGAAUCCAGUGAUGCUAAGCCCGUGAAGCCGUUCCGGACCCUUCGGGGAAAGGAAAGUGGUGGAGC
rfam:Streptomyces afghaniensis 772 genomic scaffold STAFG_scaffold679, whole genome shotgun sequence.